rnacentral:rRNA from 1 species
AUUGAACGCUGGCGGCAGGCCUAACACAUGCAAGUCGAGCGGAGCGGCGGACGGGUGAGUAAUGCCUAGGAAUCUGCCUGGUAGUGGGGGAUAACGUCCGGAAACGGGCGCUAAUACCGCAUACUAUUAGAUGAGCCUAGGUCGGAUGAGCGAGUGGGUGGGUGAAAGGCAUACCAAGGCGACGAUCCGUCACUGGUCUGAGAGGAUGAUCAGUCACACUGGAACUGAGACACGGUCCAGACUCCUACGGGAGGCAGAAGUGGGGAAUAUUGGACAAUGGACGAAAGCCUGAUCCAGGCAUGCCGCGUAUGUGAAGAAGGUCUGCGGAUUGUAAAGCACUUUAAGUUGGGAGGCGUUACCAACAGAAUAAGCACCGGCUAACUUCGUGCCAGCAGCCGCGGUAAUAC